rnacentral:rRNA from 1 species
UCGAGAAUUUUUCACAAUGGGCGAAAGCCUGAUGGAGCGACGCCGCGUGGGGGAUGAAUGGCUUCGGCCCGUAAACCCCUGUCAUUCGCGAGCAAUGCCUUCCCGAUAACACCGGGACGGUUGAUCGUAGCGAAAGAGGAAGGGACGGCUAACUCUGUGCCAGCAGCCGCGGUAAUACAGAGGUCCCAAGCGUUGUUCGGAUUCACUGGGCGUAAAGGGUGCGUAGGUGGUGAGGUAAGUUCGGUGUGAAAUCUCCGGGCUCAACCCGGAAAAGGCAUUGAAUACUAUCUUGCUAGAGGUUUGGAGGGGGUACUGGAAUUCGUCGGUGUAGCAGUGAAAUGCGUAGAUAUCGAGAGGAACACCGGUGGCGAAGGCGAGUCCCUGGACAACACCUGACACU